AACGGUCUUUUAGGAGACAGUGGCGGACGGGUGAGUAACGCGUAAGAAUCUACCUUCAGGUUGGGGACAACCACUGGAAACGGUGGCUAAUACCGAAUGUGCCGAGAGGUGAAAGGCUUGCUGCCUGAAGAAGAGCUUGCGUCUGAUUAGCUAGUUGGUAGUGUAAGAGACUACCAAGGCGACGAUCAGUAGCUGGUCUGAGAGGAUGAUCAGCCACACUGGGACUGAGACACGGCCCAGACUCCUACGGGAGGCAGCAGUGGGGAAUUUUCCGCAAUGGGCGAAAGCCUGACGGAGCAAUACCGCGUGAGGGAGGAAGGCUCUUGGGUUGUAAACCUCUUUUCUCAGGGAAGAACAGAAUGACGGUACCUGAGGAAUAAGCAUCGGCUAACUCCGUGCCAGCAGCCGCGGUAAUACGGAGGAUGCAAGCGUUAUCCGGAAUGAUUGGGCGUAAAGGGUCCGCAGGUGGCAUUGUAAGUCUGCUGUUAAAGAGUUUGGCUCAACCCAAAUAAGAGCAGUGGAAACUACAAAGCUAGAGUGUGGUCGGGGCAGAGGGAAUUCCUGGUGUAGCGGUGAAA
rnacentral:rRNA from 1 species